rnacentral:rRNA from 1 species
AAUCCAGCUCCAAUAGCGUAUAUUAAAGUUGUUGCAGUUAAAAAGCUCGUAGUUGGAUUUCUGGUGGAAGUGACCGGUCUGUCCCUAGUGGAUGUGAACUUGUGUCUACUUUUGCCAUCCUUGGGGAACGUAUCUGCACUUGAUUGUGUGGUGCGGUAUCCAGGACUUUUACUUUGAGGAAAUUAGAGUGUUUCAAGCAGGCCCGCGCCUUGAAUACAUUAGCAUGGAAUAAUAAGAUAGGACCUCGGUUCUAUUUUGUUGGUUUCUAGAGCUGAGGUAAUGAUUAAUAGGGAUAGUUGGGGGCGUUUAUAUUCCGUUGUCAGAGGUGAAAUUCUUGGAUUUACGGAAGAUAAACUACUGCGAAAGCAUUCGCCAAGGAUGUUUUCAUUG